AUACGUAGGGGACAAGCGUUGUCCGGAAUCACUGGGCGUAAAGGGCGCGUAGGCGGUUUUAUAAGUCAGAUGUGAAAGGUACCGGCUCAACCGGUGACGUGCAUUUGAAACUGUAAGACUUGAGUACUGGAGAGGCAAGUGGAAUUCCUAGUGUAGCGGUGAAAUGCGAAGAUAUUAGGAGGAACACCGGUGGCGAAGGCGGCUUGCUGGACAGAUACUGACGCUGAGGUGCGAAAGCGUGGGGAGCGAACAGGAUUAGAUACCCUGGUAGUCCACGCCGUAAACGAUGAUGACUAGGUGUUGGGGAAACUCAGUGCCGCAGUUAACACAUUAAGUCAUCCGCCUGGGGAGUACGACCGCAAGGUUGAAACUCAAAGGAAUUGACGGGG
rnacentral:rRNA from 1 species